rnacentral:rRNA from 1 species
GGACGGGUGAGUAACGCGUAGGAAUCUACCCAGUAGUUGGGGAUAGCCCGGAGAAAUCCGGAUUAAUACCGAAUAAUCUCUACGGAGGAAAGUGGGCUUCGGCUCACGCUACAGGAUGAGCCUGCGUUGGAUUAGCUAGUUGGUGUGGUAAGAGCGCACCAAGGCGACGAUCCAUAGCUGGUCUGAGAGGAUGAUCAGCCACACUGGGACUGAGACACGGCCCAGACUCC